AGCGAACGCUGGCGGCAGGCCUAACACAUGCAAGUCGAGCGCCCGUAGCAAUACGGGAGCGGCAGACGGGAUAGUAACACGUGGGAACGUACCCUUCAGUUCGGAACAACCCAGGGAAACUUGGGCUAAUACCGAAUACGUCCGUAAGGAGAAAGAUUUAUCGCUGAAGGAUCGGCCCGCGUCUGAUUAGCUAGUUGGUGGGGUAAUGGCCCACCAAGGCGACGAUCAGUAGCUGGUCNGAGAGGAUGAUCAGCAUCAC
rnacentral:rRNA from 1 species